GGAAGAUGUAACGGGGCUAAACCAUGCACCGAAGCUGCGGCAGCGACACUGUGUGUUGUUGGGUAGGGGAGCGUUCUGUAAGCCUGUGAAGGUGUGUCGUGAGGCAUGCUGGAGGUAUCAGAAGUGCGAAUGCUGACAUAAGUAACGAUAAAGCGGGUGAAAAGCCCGCUCGCCGGAAGACCAAGGGUUCCUGUCCAACGUUAAUCGGGGCAGGGUGAGUCGACCCCUAAGGCGAGGCCGAAAGGCGUAGUCGAUGGGAAACGGGUUAAUAUUCCCGUACUUGGUGUUACUGCGAAGGGGGGACGGAGAAGGCUAUGUUGGCCGGGCGACGGUUGUCCCGGUUUAAGCGUGUAGGUGUGUGUUCCAGGUAAAUCCGGUUCACUUUAACACUGAGGCGUGACGACGAGGCACUACGGUGCUGAAGCAACAAAUGCCCUGCUUCCAGGAAAAGCCUCUAAGCAUCAGGUAACAUCAAAUCGUACCCCAAACCGACACAGGUGGUCAGGUAGAGAAUACCAAGGCGCUUGAGAGAACUCGGGUGAAGGAACUAGGCAAAAUGGUGCCGUAACUUCGGGAGAAGGCACGCUGACACGUAGGUGAAGUGAUUUACUCAUGGAGCUGAAGUCAGUCGAAGAUACCAGCUGGCUGCAACUGUUUAUUAAAAACACAGCACUGUGCAAACACGAAAGUGGACGUAUACGGUGUGACGCCUGCCCGGUGCCGGAAGGUUAAUUGAUGGGGUCAGCGCAAGCGAAGCUCCUGAUCGAAGCCCCGGUAAACGGCGGCCGUAACUAUAACGGUCCUAAGGUAGCGAAAUUCCUUGUCGGGUAAGUUCCGACCUGCACGAAUGGCGUAAUGAUGGCCAGGCUGUCUCCACCCGAGACUCAGUGAAAUUGAACUCGCUGUGAAGAUGCAGUGUACCCGCGGCAAGACGGAAAGACCCCGUGAACCUUUACUAUAGCUUGACACUGAACAUUGAGCCUUGAUGUGUAGGAUAGGUGGGAGGCUUUGAAGUGUGGACGCCAGUCUGCAUGGAGCCGACCUUGAAAUACCACCCUUUAAUGUUUGAUGUUCUAACGUGGACCCGUUACCCGGGUUGCGGACAGUGUCUGGUGGGUAGUUUGACUGGGGCGGUCUCCUCC
rnacentral:rRNA from 1 species